GGUAAUGGGCUAUCCUCAAUUCUCAAAUGUUUCAAAUGUGGAGCACUCUGUUUCAUGUUGUUAUUUAGUUUCCUCUGAACAUCUAAUGUUUACGCUCUGUGUUUGAUUAGGUUUGCAAUCUGAAGCUCUUGCUGAGGAUUCCCUUAACUGGAAUUCAGCAGUUAACAACUAUUGGUCACUUCUUUCACCUUUAAUAUUUUCUGAUCACCCAAAGAGACCUGGAUGCUCUGUGUUUUAUUAGGUUUGCAAUCUGAAGCUCUUGCCGAGGAUUCCCUUAACUGGAAUUCAGCAGUUAACAACUAUUGGUCACUUCUUUCACCUUUAAUAUUUUCUGAUCACCCAAAGAGACCUGGUGAUGAUGAUCCUUCCCCUCCCUAUAAUAUGCUUAGAAAUGUGUUGGACAUGAAUGCCCAUUUUGGUGGUCUGAAUGCUGCACUACUGGAUGCACGAAAGUCAGCAUGGGUCAUGAACGUGAUUCCCACUACUGGGCCUAAUUAUCUUCCCCUAAUUCUUGACAGGGGAUUUGUUGGUGUUUUGCAUGAUUGGUAAAUUCUUCUCUCUUUCUCUGGUGAAGGAAUGCGCUUGAUUAAUGUCAAACUUUUAAAACAUGCAACAUUUGUUUUUUUACAUGAUAUAGAGGAUGCUAAAUACAAUUAGUCAGUAAAUUGAAUUUGGAUGAUAGCUUCUGAUCGCCCUAACUCUAAUUCUAAUAAUUGAUGUACCCAACAAGUCAUAUUAUCUGGUUGAUCAACACUAUAGCCCUAACUCUAAUUCUAAUGAUUGAUGUACCUAACAAGUCAUAUUAUCUGGUUGACCAACACUAUCACUGGAAUUACCAGAUCACCAUUAAGCCUAUGUUCAUCGAUUCUAUUCAAGUUUGAUCCUUCCUUUAGAGUCUUCACCUUUCACAAUUCAUUGGUUCUGCGAUUUAUUCAGUCAUAACUAGGCUCAAUGACUAGAUUUCCUUAACCAAGCUACCGUCCCACAGAGUUCCUUUCCACCUAUUUACAUGAAAUUUAUCUUUAGCUUUGGGUUUAGACACUUAAAAGUUGGACUAGGUUUACGCUAAUUAACUCAUUUUCUGUGAUUGAGAUGAAGAGGGUGAGCAUACACCAUAAUAAAGAACAAAGUGUACUGAUAACAGAGUAAUGUGUUUGUCAAUCAAAACUCUUAUCACUUUUAUUAUCUUUUUGGGAGCUUUGUCUUAUCCUCUUGAAGGUACUUGUAGGUACUGGUUUGUGCUUGACUAAUCAAAAGCAAAAAAUAAAAAAAUAAAAAUUGUAUUUUGAUAGUUAGUCAAUGGAUAAUCUUCAUUUGGGGUUUCUUUAGUGACUACCAGAGAUGCGAGAUGUGGUAUCUAAUUAGACAGCUUUGUCAUGCAUUUCAUGCUCGCUAAAAAGAUGUCUUUUCAAUACCGACCUGUGUGAUUUGGAGGCUAAACAAGAGGACAGAGCUUGCCACAUAGCUUUUCUCUACUUGGAGUUAUAGUGUUGCAAGUUCUCAGGGCAAAUUCCCUGUAUAUGAAUAUUGCUUCAAAACUGUGAAAAUGAUGUAAAAGCAGCAAAAAUAUUCUUUAUUCAACUUGUAUUUCUGGUGUUAAGUGGGAAUACUGUAUCGCACAGUUAGUUGGCAAGAUUGAUAGAUGCUUCUUGAUGACUCGUCUUAACAGACACAGGCGAACUUCUGAAUACUUUUGACACCGACUUGGUUUUCAGUAAUGAAAAUUUUGACUUGUCAAAAUGACUGAUUGCGAGUCACAUAAACUUUAGCAAAACGACCUUUUUUAUUUGUUUAUUUUGGA
rnacentral:lncRNA from 1 species